rnacentral:lncRNA from 1 species
GCUUGCACUUGUUCAGUGAAAUUAGACCCACCUCAAGCGGCCUGACAGUAAUUUAUAAGAAAAACUGAUCCUUCAGAACUUGUGGAUUUGGAUUUCCACUGGAACCUUGUCUGGGAAUCCCAAGAGGAGCUGGGCAGGAGUCCCCAGGAUGGACUGCGGUGUAAGAGGUGGGAGCCAGUAGGAUGACUUUUCAGCAGCUGUUGGCUAGAAAUCAGUGAACUGACAAUCUGAAGGUGAAGUCAAGCCAGGAUGGAGGCAAGAGAUCUUUAGACUGGAAGAAUUCAAAACUCAGUUGCAAAAAACUUACAGCCAAGCCAAACAGAAGAAAGCACUGAAAUCUGAUUAAUUUGUGAGAGGUAGUGGAAAAGGAUGGAAAGCUAGAAGACCAUUUAUGGCAACUUUAUUGGGUUUUCUUCAGGGAAGACACAGAAGAGAACAUGUUUUGUAGACGUUUUUUACAUUUUGUGGGAGAGGAAAAUAUAUCCCAAAUUGUAACAGAAGGUUGAAAUGUGAACAUUGUAGCUAGUAUUAGAUUUCUGUUCUUGCAGCACAGUAAUCUAUACCUUCAUCAA